rnacentral:rRNA from 1 species
AAAUUGAAGAGUUUGAUCAUGGCUCAGAUUGAACGCUGGCGGCAGGCCUAACACAUGCAAGUCGAACGGUAACAGGAAGAAGCUUGCUUCUUUGCUGACGAGUGGCGGACGGGUGAGUAAUGUCUGGGAAACUGCCUGAUGGAGGGGGAUAACUACUGGAAACGGUAGCUAAUACCGCAUAACGUCGCAAGACCAAAGAGGGGGACCUUCGGGCCUCUUGCCAUCGGAUGUGCCCAGAUGGGAUUAGCUAGUAGGUGGGGUAACGGCUCACCUAGGCGACGAUCCCUAGCUGGUCUGAGAGGA